rnacentral:lncRNA from 1 species
AGGAAGCCUGAACACCCCAAAAAUUUUUUUCUUCAUUUUACAUUUUUGUUGGUGUAACCAACUCCAAAAGGUUGGAAAAGAGUUCCUACAAAGGUUUUGGACAGUGAUUUUAACCCUAACGCCAAAAAACUUAAACCUUACCAUAGCCCCAUAACCUAAUACCUGGGUAUUACUUUUAGGAAGCCUGAACACCCCAAAUAUUUUUUUUUCAUUUUUCAUUUUUUUUUGGUCUAACUAACUCCAAAAGGUUGGAAAAGAGUUCCUACAAAGGUUUUGGACAGUGAUUUUAACCCUAAUGCCAAAAAACUUAAACCUUACCCUGGCCUUAAAAUCUAAUACCCGGGUAUUACCUUCAGGAAGCCCGAACACCCCAAAUAUUUUUUUUUUUUCAUUUUACAUUUUUUUUGGUGUAACUAACUCCAAAAGGUUGGAAAAGAGUUCCUACAAAGGUUUUGGACAGUGAUUUUAACCCUAACGCCAAAAACCUUAAACCUUACCAUAGCCCCAUAACCUAAUACCCGGGUAUUACUUUUAGGAAGCCUGAACACCCCAAAUAUUUUUUUUUCAUUUUUCUUUUUUUUUUGGUCUAACUAACUCCAAAAGGUUGGAAAAGAGUUCCUACAAAGGUUUUGGACAGUGAUUUUAACCCUAACGCCAAAAACCUUAAACCUUUCCCUAGUCCCAAAACCUAAUACACGGGUAUUACUUUCAGGGAGCCCGAAAACCCCCAAUAAUAUUUUUUUCUUUUUUCAUUUUUUUUUGGUCUAACUAACUCCAAAAGGUUGGAAAAGAGUUCCUACAAAGGUUUUGGACAGUGAUUUUAACCCUAACGCCAAAAACCUUAAACCUUACCAUAGCCCCAUAACCUAAUACCCGGGUAUUACUUUUAGGAAGCCUGAACACCCCAAAUAUUUUUUUUCAUUUUUCUUUUUUUUUUUUGGUCUAACUAACUCCAAAAGGUUGGAAAAGAGUUCCUACAAAGGUUUUGGACAGUGAUUUUAACCCUAACGCCAAAAACCUUAAACCUUACCAUAGCCCCAUAACCUAAUACCCGGGUAUUACUUUUAGGAAGCCUGAACACCCCAAAUAUUUUUUUUUCAUUUUUCAUUUUUUUUUUGGUCUAACUAACUCCAAAAGGUUGGAAAAGAGUUCCUACAAAGGUUUUGGACAGUGAUUUUAACCCUAACGCCAAAAAACUUAAACCUUACCAUAGCCCCAAAACCUAAUACCCGGGUAUUACUUUCAGGAAGCCCGAAAACCCCAAAUAAUAUUUUUUUCUUUUUUCAUAUUUUUUGGUCUAACUAACUCCAAAAGGUUGGAAAAGAGUUCCUACAAAGGUUUUGGACAGUGAUUUUAACCCUAACGCCAAAAAACUUAAACCUUACCAUAGCCCCAAAACCUAAUACACGGGUAUUACUUUCAGGGAGCCCGAAAACCCCCAAUUAUAUUUUUUUCUUUUUUCAUAUUUUUUGGUCUAACUAACUCCAAAAGGUUGGAAAAGAGUUCCUACAAAGGUUUUGGACAGUGAUUUUAACCCUAACGCCAAAAAACUUAAACCUUACCCUAGCCAAAAAAACUAAUACCAGGGUAUUACAUUCAGGAACCCCGAAAACCCCAAAUAUUGUUUUUUAAUUUUUCAUUUUUUUUUGGUCUAACUAACUCCAAAAGGUUGGAAAAGAGUUCCUACAAAGGUUUUGGACAGUGAUUUUAACCCUAACGCCAAAAAACUUAAACCUUACCAUAGCCCCAUAACCUAAUACCUGGGUAUUACUUUUAGGAAGCCUGAACACCCCAAAUAUUUUUUUUUCAUUUUUCUUUUUUUUUUGGUCUAACUAACUCCAAAAGGUUGGAAAAGAGUUCCUACAAAGGUUUUGGACAGUGAUUUUAACCCUAACGCCAAAAACCUUAAACCUUACCCUAGCCUUGAAAUCUAAUACCCGGGUAUUACCUUCAGGAAGCCUGAACACCCCAAAUAUUUUUUCUUCAUUUUACAUUUUUGUUGGUGUAACCAACUCCAAAAGGUUGGAAAAGAGUUCCUACAAAGGUUUUGGACAGUGAUUUUAACCCUAAUGCCACAAAACUUAAACCUUACCCUAGCCUCAAAAUCUAAUACCCGGGUAUUACAUUCAGGAACCCUGAAAACCCCAAAUAUUGUUUUUUAAUUUUUCAUUUUUUUUUGGUCUAACUAACUCCAAAAGGUUGGAAAAGAGUUCCUACAAAGGUUUUGGACAGUGAUUUUAACCCUAACGCCAAAAAGUUAAACCUUACCAUAGCCCCAUAACCUAAUACCCGGGUAUUACUUUUAGGAAGCCUGAACACCCCAAAUAUAUAUUUUUUCAUUUUUCUUUUUUUUUUUGGUCUAACUAACUCCAAAAGGUUGGAAAAGAGUUCCUACAAAGGUUUUGGACAGUGAUUUUAACCCUAAUGCCAAAAAACUUAAACCUUACCCUGGCCUUAAAAUCUAAUACCCGGGUAUUACCUUCAGGAAGCCCGAACACCCCAAAUAUUUUUUUUUCAUUUUACAUUUUUUUUGGUGUAACUAACUCCAAAAGGUUGGAAAAGAGUUCCUACAAAGGUUUUGGACAGUGAUUUUAACCCUAACGCCAAAAACCUUAAACCUUACCAUAGCCACAUAACCUAAUACCCAGGUAUUACUUUUAGGAAGCCUGAACACCCCAAAUAUUUUUUUUUCAUUUUUAUUUUUUUUUGGUCUAACUAACUCCAAAAGGUUGGAAAAGAGUUCCUACAAAGGUUUUGGACAGUGAUUUUAACCCUAACGCCAAAAAACUUAAACCUUACCCUGGCCUUAAAAUCUAAUACCCGGGUAUUACAUUCAGGAAGCCCGUAAACCCCCAAUUUUUUUUUUUUUCAUUUUUCUUUUUUUUUUUGGUCUAACUAACUCCAAAAGGUUGGAAAAAGAGUUCCUACAAAGGUUUUGGACAGUGAUUUUAACCCUAACGCCAAAAAACUUAAACCUUACCCUAGCCCCAAAACCUAAUACCCGGGUAUUACUUUUAGGAAGCCUGAACACCCCAAAUAUUUUUUUUUCAUUUUUCUUUUUUUUUUUUGGUCUAACUAACUCCAAAAGGUUGGAAAAGAGUUCCUACAAAGGUUUUGGACAGUGAUUUUAACCCUAACGCCAAAAAACUUAAACCUUUCCCUGGCCUUAAAAUCUAAUACCCGGGUAUUACAUUCAGGAAGCCCGUAAACCCCAAAUAUUUUUUUUUUCAUUUUUCAUUUUUUUUUGGUCUAACUAACUCCAAAAGGUUGAAAAAGAGUUCCUACAAAGGUUUUGGACAGUGAUUUUAACCUUAACGCCAAAAACCUUAAACCUUACCAUAGCCCCAUAACCUAAUACCCGGGUAUUACUUUUAGGAAGCCUGAACACCCCAAAUAUAUUUUUUUUAAUUUUUCAUUUUUUUUUGGUCUAACUAAAUCCAAAAGGUUGUUAAAGAGUUCCUACAAAGGUUUUGGACAGUGAUUUUAAACCUAACGCCAAAACGUUAAACCUUACCAUAGCCCCAUAACCUAAUACCCGGGUAUUACUUUUAGGAAGCCUGAACACCCCAAAUAUUUUUUUUUCAUUUUUCUUUUUUUUUUGGUCUAACUAACUCCAAAAGGUUGGAAAAGAGUUCCUACAAAGGUUUUGGACAGUGAUUUUAACCCUAACGCCAAAAACCUUAAACCUUUCCCUAGUCCCAAAACCUAAUACACGGGUAUUACUUUCAGGGAGCCCGAAAACCCCCAAUAAUACUUUUUUCUUUUUUCAUAUUUUUUGGUCUAACUAACUCCAAAAGGUUGGAAAAGAGUUCCUACAAAGGUUUUGGACAGUGAUUUUAACCCUAACGCCAAAAACCUUAAACCUUACCAUAGCCCCAUAACCUAAUACCCGGGUAUUACUUUUAGGAAGCCUGAACACCCCAAAUAUAUUUUUUUCAUUUUUCUUUUUUUUUUUGGUCUAACUAACUCCAAAAGGUUGGAAAAGAGUUCCUACAAAGGUUUUGGACAGUGAUUUUAACCCUAACGCCAAAAACCUUAAACCUUUCCCUAGUCCCAAAACCUAAUACACGGGUAUUACUUUCAGGGAGCCCGAAAACCCCCAAUAAUAUUUUUUUCUUUUUUCAUAUUUUUUGGUCUAACUAACUCCAAAAGGUUGGAAAAGAGUUCCUACAAAGGUUUUGGACAGUGAUUUUAACCCUAACGCCAAAAACCUUAAACCUUACCCUAGCCUUGAAAUCUAAUACCCGGGUAUUACCUUCAGGAAGCCUGACACCCCAAAUAUUUUUUUCUUCAUUUUACAUUUUUGUUGGUGUAACCAACUCCAAAAGGUUGGAAAAGAGUUCCUACAAAGGUUUUGGACAGUGAUUUUAACCCUAAUGCCAAAAAACUUAAACCUUACCCUAGCCUCAAAAUCUAAUACCCGGGUAUUAUAUUCAGGAACCCCGAAAACCCCAAAUAUUGUUUUUUAAUUUUUCAUUUUUUUUUGGUCAAACUAACACCAAAAGGUUGGAAAAGAGUUCCUACAAAGGUUUUGGACAGUGAUUUUAACCCUAACGCCAAAAACCUUAAGCCUUUCUCAGUCCCAAAACCUAAUACCUGGGUAUUACCUUCAGGGAGCCCGAAAACCCCCAAUAAUAUUUUUUUCUUUUUUCAUAUUUUUUGGUCUAACUAACUCCAAAAGGUUGGAAAAGAGUUCCUACAAAGGUUUUGGACAGUGAUUUUAACCCUAACGCCAAAAAACUUAAACCUUUCCCUGGCCUUAAAAUCUAAUACCCGGGUAUUACAUUCAGGAAGCCCGUGAACCCCAAAUAUUUUUUUUUUCAUUUUUCAUUUUUUUUUGGUCUAACUAACUCCAAAAGGUUGAAAAAGAGUUCCUACAAAGGUUUUGGACAGUGAUUUUAACCUUAACGCCAAAAACCUUAAACCUUACCAUAGCCCCAUAACCUAAUACCCGGGUAUUACUUUUAGGAAGCCUGAACACCCCAAAUAUAUUUUUUUUCAUUUUUCAUUUUUUUUUGGUCUAACUAACUCCAAAAGGUUGGAAAAGAGUUCCUACAAAGGUUUUGGACAGUGAUUUUAAACCUAACGCCAAAACGUUAAACCUUACCAUAGCCCCAUAACCUAAUACCCGGGUAUUACUUUUAGGAAGCCUGAACACCCCAAAUAUUUUUUUUUCAUUUUUCUUUUUUUUUUGGUCUAACUAACUCACAAAGGUUGGAAAAGAGUUCCUACAAAGGUUUUGGACAGUGAUUUUAACCCUAACGCCAAAACCCUUAAACCUUUCCCUAGUCCCAAAACCUAAUACACGGGUAUUACUUUCAGGGAGCCCGAAAACCCCCAAUAAUAUUUUUUUCUUUUUUCAUAUUUUUUGGUCUAACUAACUCCAAAAGGUUGGAAAAGAGUUCCUACAAAGGUUUUGGACAGUGAUUUUAACCCUAACGCCAAAAAACGUAAACCUUUCCCUGGCCUUAAAAUCUAAUACCCGGGUAUUACAUUCAGGAAGCCCGUAAACCCCAAAUAUUUUUUUUUCAUUUUUCAUUUUUUUUUUGGUCUAACUAACUCCAAAAGGUUGGAAAAGAGUUCCUACAAAGGUUUUGGACAGUGAUUUUAACCUUAACGCCAAAAACCUUAAACCUUACCAUAGCCCCAUAACCUAAUACCCGGGUAUUACUUUUAGGAAGCCUGAACACCCCAAAUAUAUUUUUUUUCAUUUUUCUUUUUUUUUUGGUCUAACUAAAUCCAAAAGGUUGGAAAAGAGUUCCUACAAAGGUUUUGGACAGUGAUUUUAAACCUAACGCCAAAACGUUAAACCUUACCAUAGCCCCAUAACCUAAUACCCGGGUAUUACUUUUAGGAAGCCUGAACACCCCAAAUAUUUUUUUUUCAUUUUUCUUUUUUUUUUUGGUCUAACUAACUCACAAAGGUUGGAAAAGAGUUCCUACAAAGGUUUUGGACAGUGAUUUUAACCCUAACGCCAAAACCCUUAAACCUUUCCCUAGUCCCAAAACCAUAUACACGGGUAUUACUUUCAGGGAGCCCGAAAACCCCCAAUAAUACUUUUUUCUUUUUUCAUAUUUUUUGGUCUAACUAACUCCAAAAGGUUGGAAAAGAGUUCCUACAAAGGUUUUGGACAGUGAUUUUAACCCUAACGCCAAAAACCUUAAACCUUACCUUAGCCUUGAAAUCUAAUACCCGGGUAUUACCUUCAGGAAGCCUGAACACCCCAAAUAUUUUUUUCUUCAUUUUACAUUUUUGUUGGUGUAACCAACUCCAAAAGGUUGGAAAAGAGUUCCUACAAAGGUUUUGGACAGUGAUUUUAACCCUAACGCCAAAAACCUUAAACCUUACCCUAGCCCCAAAACCUAAUACCCGGGUAUUACAUUCAGGAACCCCGAAAACCCCAAAUAUUGUUUUUUAAUUUUUCAUUUUUUUUUGGUCAAACUAACACCAAAAGGUUGGAAAAGAGUUCCUACAAAGGUUUUGGACAGUGAUUUUAACCCUAACGCCAAAAACCUUAAGCCUUUCUCAGUCCCAAAACCUAAUACCUGGGUAUUACCUUCAGGGAGCCCGAAAACCCCCAAUAAUAUUUUUUUCUUUUUUCAUAUUUUUUGGUCUAACUAACUCCAAAAGGUUGGAAAAGAGUUCCUACAAAGGUUUUGGACAGUGAUUUUAACCCUAACGCCAAAAAACUUAAACCUUUCCCUGGCCUUAAAAUCUAAUACCCGGGUAUUACAUUCAGGAAGCCCGUAAAACCCCAAAUAUUUUUUUUUUCAUUUUUCAUUUUUUUUUUUGGUCUAACUAACUCCAAAAGGUUGAAAAAGAGUUCCUACAAAGGUUUUGGACAGUGAUUUUAACCUUAACGCCAAAAACCUUAAACCUUACCAUAGCCCCAUAACCUAAUACCCGGGUAUUACUUUUAGGAAGCCUGAACACCCCAAAUAUAUUUUUUUUAAUUUUUCAUUUUUUUUUGGUCUAACUAAAUCCAAAAGGUUGGAAAAGAGUUCCUACAAAGGUUUUGGACAGUGAUUUUAAACCUAACGCCAAAACGUUAAACCUUACCAUAGCCCCAUAACCUAAUACCCGGGUAUUACUUUUAGGAAGCCUGAACACCCCAAAUAUUUUUUUUUCAUUUUUCUUUUUUUUUUGGUCUAACUAACUCACAAAGGUUGGAAAAGAGUUCCUACAAAGGUUUUGGACAGUGAUUUUAACCCUAACGCCAAAACCCUUAAACCUUUCCCUAGUCCCAAAACCUAAUACACGGGUAUUACUUUCAGGGAGCCCGAAAACCCCCAAUAAUACUUUUUUCUUUUUUCAUAUUUUUUGGUCUAACUAACUCCAAAAGGUUGGAAAAGAGUUCCUACAAAGGUUUUGGACAGUGAUUUUAACCCUAACGCCAAAAAACGUAAACCUUUCCCUGGCCUUAAAAUCUAAUACCCGGGUAUUACAUUCAGGAAGCCCGUAAACCCCAAAUAUUUUUUUUUUCAUUUUUCAUUUUUUUUUGGUCUAACUAACUCCAAAAGGUUGAAAAAGAGUUCCUACAAAGGUUUUGGACAGUGAUUUUAACCUUAACGCCAAAAACCUUAAACCUUACCAUAGCCCCAUAACCUAAUACCCGGGUAUUACUUUUAGGAAGCCUGAACACCCCAAAUAUAUUUUUUUUAAUUUUUCAUUUUUUUUUGGUCUAACUAAAUCCAAAAGGUUGUUAAAGAGUUCCUACAAAGGUUUUGGACAGUGAUUUUAAACCUAACGCCAAAACGUUAAACCUUACCAUAGCCCCAUAACCUAAUACCCGGGUAUUACUUUUAGGAAGCCUGAACACCCCAAAUAUUUUUUUUUCAUUUUUCUUUUUUUUUUGGUCUAACUAACUCACAAAGGUUGGAAAAGAGUUCCUACAAAGGUUUUGGACAGUGAUUUUAACCCUAACGCCAAAACCCUUAAACCUUUCCCUAGUCCCAAAACCAUAUACACGGGUAUUACUUUCAGGGAGCCCGAAAACCCCCAAUAAUACUUUUUUCUUUUUUCAUAUUUUUUGGUCUAACUAACUCCAAAAGGUUGGAAAAGAGUUCCUACAAAGGUUUUGGACAGUGAUUUUAACCCUAACGCCAAAAACCUUAAACCUUACCUUAGCCUUGAAAUCUAAUACCCGGGUAUUACCUUCAGGAAGCCUGACACCCCAAAUAUUUUUUUCUUCAUUUUACAUUUUUGUUGGUGUAACCAACUCCAAAAGGUUGGAAAAGAGUUCCUACAAAGGUUUUGGACAGUGAUUUUAACCCUAACGCCAAAAAACUUAAACCUUACCAUAGCCCCAUAACCUAAUACCUGGGUAUUACUUUGAGGAAGCCUGAACACCCCAAAUAUUUUUUUUUUCAUUUUUCUUUUUUUUUUGGUCUAACCAACUCCAAAAGGUUGGAAAAGUGUUCCUACAAAGGCUUUGGACAGUGAUUUUAACCCUAAUGCCAAAAAACUUAAACCUUACCCUGGCCUUAAAAUCUAAUACAAUAUUACAUUCAGGAAGCCCGAACACCCCAAAUAUUUUUUUUUUUUCAUUUUACAUUUUUUUUGGUGUAACCAACUCCAAAAGGUUGGAAAAGAGUUCCUACAAAGGUUUUGGACAGUGAUUUUAACCCUAACGCCAAAAACCUUAAACCUUACCAUAGCCCCAUAACCUAAUACCCAGGUAUUACUUUUAGGAAGCCUGAACACCCCAAAUAUUUUUUUUUCAUUUUUCUUUUUUUUUUGGUCUAACUAACUCCAAAAGGUUGGAAAAGAGUUCCUACAAAGGUUUUGGACAGUGAUUUUAACCCUAACGCCAAAAAACUUAAACCUUACCCUGGCCUUAAAAUUUAAUACCCGGGUAUUACAUUCAGGAAGCCCGUAAACCCCAAAUAUUUUUUUUUUUUCAUUUUACAUUUUUUUUGGUGUAACCAACUCCAAAAGGUUGGAAAAGAGUUCCUACAAAGGUUUUGGACAGUGAUUUUAACCCUAACGCCAAAACCCUUAAACCUUACCCUGGCCUUAAAAUCUAAUACCCGGGUAUUACAUUCAGGAAGCCCGAACACCCCAAAUAUUUUUUUUUUUUCAUUUUACAUUUUUUUUGGUCUAACUAACUCCAAAAGGUUGGAAAAGAGUUCCUACAAAGGUUUUGGACAGUGAUUUUAACCCUAACGCCAAAAACCUUAAACCUUACCAUAGCCCCAUAACCUAAUACCCAGGUAUUACUUUUAGGAAGCCUGAACACCCCAAAUAUUUUUUUUUCAUUUUUCUUUUUUUUUUGGUCUAACUAACUCACAAAGGUUGGAAAAGAGUUCCUACAAAGGUUUUGGACAGUGAUUUUAACCCUAACGCCAAAAACCUUAAACCUUACCAUAGCCCCAUAACCUAAUACCCAGGUAUUACUUUUAGGAAGCCUGAACACCCCAAAUAUUUUUUUUUCAUUUUUCUUUUUUUUUUUGGUCUAACUAACUCCAAAAGGUUGGAAAAGAGUUCCUACAAAGGUUUUGGACAGUGAUUUUAACCCUAACGCCAAAAAACUUAAACCUUACCCUGGCCUUAAAAUCUAAUACCCGGGUAUUACAUUCAGGAAGCCCGUAAACCCCAAAUAUUUUUUUUUUUCAUUUUACAUUUUUUUUGGUGUAACCAACUCCAAAAGGUUGGAAAAGAGUUCCUACAAAGGUUUUGGACAGUGAUUUUAACCCUAACGCCAAAAACCUUAAACCUUACCAUAGCCCCAUAACCUAAUACCCAGGUAUUACUUUUAGGAAGCCUGAACACCCCAAAUAUUUUUUUUUCAUUUUUCUUUUUUUUUUGGUCUAACUAACUCACAAAGGUUGGAAAAGAGUUCCUACAAAGGUUUUGGACAGUGAUUUUAACCCUAACGCCAAAACCCUUAAACCUUACCCUGGCCUUAAAAUCUAAUACAAUAUUACAUUCAGGAAGCCCGAACACCCCAAAUAUUUUUUUUUUUUCAUUUUACAUUUUUUUUGGUGUAACCAACUCCAAAAGGUUGGAAAAGAGUUCCUACAAAGGUUUUGGACAGUGAUUUUAACCCUAACGCCAAAAACCUUAAACCUUACCAUAGCCCCAUAACCUAAUACCCAGGUAUUACUUUUAGGAAGCCUGAACACCCCAAAUAUUUUUUUUUUCAUUUUACAUUUUUUUUGGUCUAACCAACUCCAAAAGGUUGGAAAAGAGUUCCUACAAAGGUUUUGGACAGUGAUUUUAACCCUAACGCCAAAAACCUUAAACCUUACCAUAGCCCCAUAACCUAAUACCCGGGUAUUACUUUUAGGAAGCCUGAACACCCCAAAUAUUUUUUUUUUCAUUUUUCUUUUUUUUUUGGUCUAACUAACUCCAAAAGGUUGGAAAAGAGUUCCUACAAAGGUUUUGGACAGUGAUUUUAACCCUAACGCCAAAAAACUUAAACCUUACCCUAGCCUUAAAAUUUAAUACCCGGGUAUUACAUUCAGGAAGCCCGUAAACCCCAAAUAUUUUUUUUUUCAUUUUUCAUUUUUUUUGGUGUAACUAACUCCAAAAGGUUGGAAAAGAGUUCCUACAAAGGUUUUGGACAGUGAUUUUAACCCUAACGCCAAAAACCUUAAACCUUACCAUAGCCCCAUAACCUAAUACCCAGGUAUUACUUUUAGGAAGCCUGAACACCCCAAAUAUUUUUUUUUCAUUUUUCUUUUUUUUUUGGUCUAACUAACUCACAAAGGUUGGAAAAGAGUUCCUACAAAGGUUUUGGACAGUGAUUUUAACCCUAACGCCAAAACCCUUAAACCUUACCCUGGCCUUAAAAUCUAAUACCCGGGUAUUACAUUCAGGAAGCCCGAACACCCCAAAUAUUUUUUUUUUUUCAUUUUACAUUUUUUUUGGUGUAACCAACUCCAAAAGGUUGGAAAAGAGUUCCUACAAAGGUUUUGGACAGUGAUUUUAACCCUAACGCCAAAAAACUUAAACCUUACCAUAGCCCCAAAACCUAAUACCCGGGUAUUACUUUCAGGAAGCCCGAAAACCCCCAAUAAUAUUUUUUUUCUUUUUCAUUUUUUUGGUCUAACUAACUCCAAAAGGUUGGAAAAGAGUUCCUACAAAGGUUUUGGACAGUGAUUUUAACCCUAACGCCAAAAACUUAAACCUUACCAUAGCCCCAUAACCUAAUACCCGGGUAUUACUUUUAGGAAGCCUGAACACCCCAAAUAUUUUUUUUCAUUUUUCUUUUUUUUUUGGUCUAACUAACUCCAAAAGGUUGGAAAAGAGUUCCUACAAAGGUUUUGGACAGUGAUUUUAACCCUAACGCCAAAAACCUUAAACCUUUCCCUAGUCCCAAAACCUAAUACACGGGUAUUACUUUCAGGAAGCCCGAAAACCCCCAAUAAUAUUUUUUUCUUUUUUCAUAUUUUUUGGUCUAACUAACUCCAAAAGGUUGGAAAAGAGUUCCUACAAAGGUUUUGGACAGUGAUUUUAACCCUAACGCCAAAACCCUUAAACCUUUCCCUAGUCCCAAAACCUAAUACACGGGUAUUACUUUCAGGGAGCCCGAAAACCCCCAAUAAUACUUUUUUCUUUUUUCAUAUUUUUUGGUCUAACUAACUCCAAAAGGUUGGAAAAGAGUUCCUACAAAGGUUUUGGACAGUGAUUUUAACCCUAACGCCAAAAACCUUAAACCUUACCCUAGCCUUGAAAUCUAAUACCCGGGUAUUACCUUCAGGAAGCCUGAACACCCCAAAUAUUUUUUUCUUCAUUUUACAUUUUUGUUGGUGUAACCAACUCCAAAAGGUUGGAAAAGAGUUCCUACAAAGGUUUUGGACAGUGAUUUUAACCCUAACACCAAAAAACUUAAACCUUACCAUAGCCCCAUAACCUAAUACCUGGGUAUUACUUUUAGGAAGCCUGAACACCCCAAAUAUUGUUUUUUAAUUUUUCAUUUUUUUUUGGUCUAACUAACUCCAAAAGGUUGGAAAAGAGUUCCUACAAAGGUUUUGGACAGUGAUUUUAACCCUAAUGCCAAAAAACUUAAACCUUACCCUGGCCUUAAAAUCUAAUACCCGGGUAUUACAUUCAGGAAGCCCGAACACCCCAAAUAUUUUUUUUUUUUCAUUUUACAUUUUUUUUGGUGUAACCAACUCCAAAAGGUUGGAAAAGAGUUCCUACAAAGGUUUUGGACAGUGAUUUUAACCCUAACGCCAAAAACCUUAAACCUUACCAUAGCCCCAUAACCUAAUACCUGGGUAUUACUUUUAGGAAGCCUGAACACCCCAAAUAUUUUUUUUUUCAUUUUACAUUUUUGUUGGUGUAACCAACUCCAAAAGGUUGGAAAAGAGUUCCUACAAAGGUUUUGGACAGUGAUUUUAACCCUAAUGCCACAAAACUUAAACCUUACCCUAGCCUCAAAAUCUAAUACCCGGGUAUUACAUUCAGGAACCCCGAAAACCCCAAAUAUUGUUUUUUAAUUUUUCAUUUUUUUUUGGUCUAACUAACUCCAAAAGGUUGGAAAAGAGUUCCUACAAAGGUUUUGGACAGUGAUUUUAACCCUAACGCCAAAAAACUUAAACCUUACCAUAGCCCCAUAACCUAAUACCUGGGUAUUACUUUUAGGAAGCCUGAACACCCCAAAUAUAUUUUUUUUCAUUUUUCUUUUUUUUUUGGUCUAACCAACUCCAAAAGGUUGGAAAAGUGUUCCUACAAAGGUUUUGGACAGUGAUUUUAACCCUAAUGCCAAAAAACUUAAACCUUACCCUGGCCUUAAAAUCUAAUACCCGGGUAUUACAUUCAGGAAGCCCGAACACCCCAAAUAUUUUUUUUUUUCAUUUUACAUUUUUUUUGGUGUAACCAACUCCAAAAGGUUGGAAAAGAGUUCCUACAAAGGUUUUGGACAGUGAUUUUAACCCUAACGCCAAAAACCUUAAACCUUACCAUAGCCCCAUAACCUAAUACCCAGGUAUUACUUUUAGGAAGCCUGAACACCCCAAAUAUUUUUUUUUCAUUUUUCUUUUUUUUUUGGUCUAACUAACUCCAAAAGGUUGGAAAAGAGUUCCUACAAAGGUUUUGGACAGUGAUUUUAACCCUAACGCCAAAAAACUUAAACCUUACCCUGGCCUUGAAAUUUAAUACCCGGGUAUUACAUUCAGGAAGCCCGUAAACCCCAAAUAUUUUUUUUUUCAUUUUUCUUUUUUUUUUUGGUCUAACUAACUCCAAAAGGUUGAAAAAGCGUUCCUACAAAGGUUUUGGACAGUGAUUUCAACCCUAACGCCAAAAACCUUAAACCUUACCCUAGCCCCAUAACCUAAUACCCGGGUAUUACUUUUAGGAAGCCUGAACACCCCAAAUAUUUUUUUUUCAUUUUUCUUUUUUUUUUUGGUCUAACUAACUCCAAAAGGUUGGAAAAGAGUUCCUACAAAGGUUUUGGACAGUGAUUUUAACCCUAACGCCAAAAACCUUAAACCUUUCCCUAGUCCCAAAACCUAAUACACGGGUAUUACUUUCAGGGAGCCCGAAAACCCCCAAUAAUAUUUUUUUCUUUUUUCAUAUUUUUUGGUCUAACUAACUCCAAAAGGUUGGAAAAGAGUUCCUACAAAGGUUUUGGACAGUGAUUUUAACCCUAACGCCAAAAAACUUAAACCUUACCAUAGCCCCAUAACCUAAUACCUGGGUAUUACUUUUAGGAAGCCUGAACACCCCAAAUAUUUUUUUUUCAUUUUUCUUUUUUUUUUGGUCUAACCAACUCCAAAAGGUUGGAAAAGUGUUCCUACAAAGGUUUUGGACAGUGAUUUUAACCCUAAUGCCAAAAAACUUAAACCUUACCCUGGCCUUAAAAUCUAAUACCCGGGUAUUACAUUCAGGAAGCCCGAACACCCCAAAUAUUUUUUUUUUUCAUUUUACAUUUUUUUUGGUGUAACCAACUCCAAAAGGUUGGAAAAGAGUUCCUACAAAGGUUUUGGACAGUGAUUUUAACCCUAACGCCAAAAAACUUAAACCUUACCAUAGCCCCAAAACCUAAUACCCGGGUAUUACUUUCAGGGAGCCCGAAAACCCCCAAUAAUAUUUUUUUCUUUUUUCAUAUUUUUUGGUCUAACUAACUCCAAAAGGUUGGAAAAGAGUUCCUACAAAGGUUUUGGACAGUGAUUUUAAACCUAACGCCAAAACGUUAAACCUUACCAUAGCCCCAUAACCUAAUACCCGGGUAUUACUUUUAGGAAGCCUGAACACCCCAAAUAUUUUUUUUUUCAUUUUUCUUUUUUUUUUGGUCUAACUAACUCCAAAAGGUUGGAAAAGAGUUCCUACAAAGGUUUUGGACAGUGAUUUUAACCCUAACGCCAAAAACCUUAAACCUUUCCCUAGUCCCAAAACCUAAUACACGGGUAUUACUUUCAGGGAGCCCGAAAACCCCCGAUAAUAUUUUUUUCUUUUUUCAUAUUUUUUGGUCUAACUAACUCCAAAAGGUUGGAAAAGAGUUCCUACAAAGGUUUUGGACAGUGAUUUUAACCCUAACGCCAAAACCCUUAAACCUUUCCCUAGUCCCAAAACCUAAUACACGGGUAUUACUUUCAGGGAGCCCGAAAACCCCCAAUAAUACUUUUUUCUUUUUUCAUAUUUUUUGGUCUAACUAACUCCAAAAGGUUGGAAAAGAGUUCCUACAAAGGUUUUGGACAGUGAUUUUAACCCUAACGCCAAAAACCUUAAACCUUACCCUAGCCUUGAAAUCUAAUACCCGGGUAUUACCUUCAGGAAGCCUGAACACCCCAAAUAUUUUUUUCUUCAUUUUACAUUUUUGUUGGUGUAACCAACUCCAAAAGGUUGGAAAAGAGUUCCUACAAAGGUUUUGGACAGUGAUUUUAACCCUAACGCCAAAAAACUUAAACCUUACCAUAGCCCCAUAACCUAAUACCUGGGUAUUACUUUUAGGACGCCUGAACACCCCAAAUAUUGUUUUUUAAUUUUUCAUUUUUUUUUGGUCUAACUAACUCCAAAAGGUUAGAAAAGAGUUCCUACAAAGGUUUUGGACAGUGAUUUUAACCCUAAUGCCAAAAAACUUAAACCUUACCCUGGCCUUAAAAUCUAAUACCCGGGUAUUACAUUCAGGAAGCCCGAACACCCCAAAUAUUUUUUUUUUUUCAUUUUACAUUUUUUUUGGUGUAACCAACUCCAAAAGGUUGGAAAAAAGUUCCUACAAAGGUUUUGUACAGUGAUUUUAACCCUAACGCCAAAAACCUUAAACCUUACCAUAGCCCCAUAACCUAAUACCUGGGUAUUACUUUUAGGAAGCCUGAACACCCCAAAUAUUUUUUUUUUCAUUUUACAUUUUUGUUGGUGUAACCAACUCCAAAAGGUUGGAAAAGAGUUCCUACAAAGGUUUUGGACAGUGAUUUUAACCCUAAUGCCACAAAACUUAAACCUUACCCUAGCCUCAAAAUCUAAUACCCGGGUAUUACAUUCAGGAACCCCGAAAACCCCAAAUAUUGUUUUUUAAUUUUUCAUUUUUUUUUGGUCUAACUAACUCCAAAAGGUUGGAAAAGAGUUCCUACAAAGGUUUUGGACAGUGAUUUUAACCCUAACGCCAAAAAACUUAAACCUUACCAUAGCCCCAUAACCUAAUACCUGGGUAUUACUUUUAGGAAGCCUGAACACCCCAAAUAUUUUUUUUUCAUUUUUCUUUUUUUUUGGUCUAACCAACUCCAAAAGGUUGGAAAAGUGUUCCUACAAAGGUUUUGGACAGUGAUUUUAACCCUAAUGCCAAAAAACUUAAACCUUACCCUGGCCUUAAAAUCUAAUACCCGGGUAUUACAUUCAGGAAGCCCGAACACCCCAAAUAUUUUUUUUUUUUCAUUUUACAUUUUUUUUGGUGUAACCAACUCCAAAAGGUUGGAAAAGAGUUCCUACAAAGGUUUUGUACAGUGAUUUUAACCCUAACGCCAAAAACCUUAAACCUUACCAUAGCCCCAUAACCUAAUACCCAGGUAUUACUUUUAGGAAGCCUGAACACCCCAAAUAUUUUUUUUUCAUUUUUAUUUUUUUUUUGGUCUAACUAACUCCAAAAGGUUGGAAAAGAGUUUCUACAAAGGUUUUGGACAGUGAUUUUAACCCUAACGCCAAAAAACUUAAACCUUACCCUGGCCUUAAAAUCUAAUACCCGGGUAUUACAUUCAGGAAGCCCGUAAACCCCAAAUAUUUUUUUUUUCAUUUUUCUUUUUUUUUUGGUCUAACUAACUCCAAAAGGUUGAAAAAGAGUUCCUACAAAGGUUUUGGACAGUGAUUUUAAACCUAA